AAUACACACACGUUUUUCGCUAACAAUCACUGCGAUGGAGGGCCUCGACAAGAAGCGUGCAAGGGUACCUCAAGGUAGAAAUACGAAAAAAGAGAAGAAGAAGAAGAAUUUCAAGGACUUGGCCAAUUACUUGAUCGUCUGCUUUUGCCUCGACAGAAAUUGAAAAUUACAAGGAUUUCGUAUAUAUAUAUAUACUGAAUCUCCAAUUACAUAUUCAUGGCAUUAAUUUUUGUAAACAUUUUAAAAAAGGGAUCAAAAUAAUUUUAUACAUUUAAUAUUAUUUUAUUUAUUAAUUUAAUAUUAAAGAAACAAAUUAUGAAUAUCUUCAAAAUUUUAAUCUUCAAAAUAAUAAAAAUUAAAACAAAAAGUGUAAGGAAAAGGGCAAAAAAAAAUUAAUAUUUUAAAAAUUUAUUUAAGCAAAAUAAAAAAAUAAAUUGUGAUUAAAAAGUCGCGGCAAUAGAUUAGUGUAAAAGACAUUUUAUAAAAUGAACUCGUAUCUUUCUCUCUCUCUUUCUCUUCUUUCGCAGUGAUACAGUGCAAUGCAAUGGAGAUACAUGUGUAGAUACAACUCGUGGUACAACUAAAACGUAAAUACGAUUGGGAAAAGGAGACGCCAAAGUUAUAAAGUUUCAAAGUCCACACACAAACACAGUUGAAGUUUAAGUCAGUAAAAUUGUAUUUACGUUGUAUGUGCGAGAACCAAGAAAUUACACCAGAUAAACCUGAGGAUUUCUUUAAUCCUUCAAAAUGUUUGCAAAAAAAAAAAAUAAAAUUCUUAAAAUUAAAACAAAUAUUUUGACAAGUUUAAUUAAUAUUGAUUCUUCAUUCAAUUUUUUUAUCAACAAGCUUAUUUAGAUCUAAAAAUAUCACUACGAUAAAUGCUUCUGUCAAGUUCUCUCUCUCUCUCUCUCUCUCUCUCUCUCUCUCUCUCUCUCUCUCUCUC